rnacentral:rRNA from 1 species
UGGGGAAUUUUGGACAAUGGGCGCAAGCCUGAUCCAGCCAUGCCGCGUGUCUGAAGAAGGCCUUCGGGUUGUAAAGGACUUUUGUCAGGGAAGAAAAGGACAGGGUUAAUACCCCUGUUUGAUGACGGUACCUGAAGAAUAAGCACCGGCUAACUACGUGCCAGCAGCCGCGGUAAUACGUAGGGUGCGAGCGUUAAUCGGAAUUACUGGGCGUAAAGCGAGCGCAGACGGUUACUUAAGCAGGAUGUGAAAUCCCCGGGCUCAACCUGGGAACUGCGUUCUGAACUGGGUGACUAGAGUGUGUCAGAGGGAGGUAGAAUUCCACGUGUAGCAGUGAAAUGCGUAGAGAUGUGGAGGAAUACCGAUGGCGAAGGCAGCCUCCUGGGAUAACACUGACGUUCAUGCUCGAAAGCGUGGGUAGCAAACAGGAUUAGAUACCCUGGUAGUCCACGCCCUAAACGAUGUCAAUUAGCUGUUGGGCAACUUGAUUGCUUAGUAGCGUAGCUAACGCGUGAAAUUGACCGCCUGGGGAGUACGGUCGCAAGAUUA